GACGAACGCUGGCGGCGUGCCUAAUACAUGCCAGUUGAGCGAUGAAGCUUGGUGCUUGCCCCAAUUUGAAGAGCAGCGAACGGGUGAGUAACGCGUGGGGAAUCUGCCUUUGAGCGGGGGACAACAUUUGGAAACGAAUGCUAAUACCGCAUAAUAACUUUAAACAUAAGUUUUAAGUUUGAAAGAUGCAAUUGCAUCACUCAAAGAUGAUCCCGCGUUGUAUUAGCUAGUUGGUGAGGUAAAGGCUCACCAAGGCGAUGAUACAUAGCCGACCUGAGAGGGUGAUCGGCCACAUUGGGACGGGGACACGGCCCAAACUCCUACGGGAGGCAGCAGUAGGGAAUCUUCGGCAAUGGACGAAAGUCUGACCGAGCAACGCCGCGUGAGUGAAGAAGGUUUUCGGAUCGUAAAACUCUGUUGGUAGAGAAGAACGUUGGUGAGAGUGGAGAGCUCAUCAAGUGACGGUAACUACCCAGAAAGGGACGGCUAACUACGUG
rnacentral:rRNA from 1 species